UGUCUGACCACUAACUACAUUUCUGUCAAU
rnacentral:piRNA from 1 species